rnacentral:rRNA from 1 species
UACGAAGGGGGCUAGCGUUGUUCGGAUUUACUGGGCGUAAAGCGCACGUAGGCGGAUUGUUAAGUUGGGGGUGAAAUCCUGGAGCUCAACUCCAGAACUGCCUUCAAUACUGGCAAUCUCGAGUCCGGAAGAGGUAAGUGGAACUCCUAGUGUAGAGGUGGAAUUCGUAGAUAUUAGGAAGAACACCGGUGGCGAAGGCGGCAUCCUGGACCGGUAUUGACGCUGAGGCGCGAAAGCCAGGGGAGCAAACGGG